GGCAGUUCUUGGGUGACACACCAUGGAAUCGAGCUCCCUCCUCUCUGGUUCCAGGUGCAUCACCCAAGAACCACA
rfam:Myotis davidii contig85476, whole genome shotgun sequence.